GGAGGGGGCAACCACAUGGCUGGCUGGUACUUCUUACUCUGGGGGGUCUCCUCAUGAUCAGUUGCAUAACAGCCACGGUGGUCCUUGCACUCUGGGGAGUUACCCUCCUACUCCCAGGGGAUGAGCAAUCUCUUUAAGGUCUUUCCUCCUGGGCUGGGAGCCACACAAGUGUGCCAUGGAAUGUGGAGCUCCUCCCUGGGCAGAGUGCCUGAGAGCUAAGGGGAGGAUGACACCUCCCCCUGCAGUGACUCUUUAAGAGAAAAGGGUAAAAGGAGAAAAUCCAGGAUUAAUUCAUCUUUCUGGGCUUGAGAUACUGAACAAGCAACACCUGGUCUCAUCUGAACCCUGCGGAUGUAUUUUUCACCCAAGAAAUUUCGGAUUUCAACAAGAGAACCAUUCUCCUGGAUAA
rnacentral:lncRNA from 1 species